ACACAUGCAGUCGAGCGGUAACAGGAAGAAAGCUUGCUUUCUUUGCUGACGAGCGGCGGACGGGUGAGUAAUGCCUGGGAAAUUGCCCUGAUGUGGGGGAUAACCAUUGGAAACGAUGGCUAAUACCGCAUGAUGCCCUUGUUUAUAAUGAACAGGGACCAAAGAGGGGGACCUUCGGGCCUCUCGCGUCAGGAUAUGCCCAGGUGGGAUUAGCUAGUUGGUGAGGUAAUGGCUCACCAAGGCGACGAUCCCUAGCUGGUCUGAGAGGAUGAUCAGCCACACUGGAACUGAGACACGGUCCAGACUCCUACGGGAGGCAGCAGUGGGGAAUAUUGCACAAUGGGCGCAAGCCUGAUGCAGCCAUGCCGCGUGUAUGAAGAAGGCCUUCGGGUUGUAAAGUACUUUCAGUCGUGAGGAAGGGGGUAUCGUUAAUAGCGGUAUUCUUUGACGUUAGCGACAGAAGAAGCACCGGCUAACUCCGUGCCAGCAGCCGCGGUAAUACGGAGGGUGCGAGCGUUAAUCGGAAUUACUGGGCGUAAAGCGCAUGCAGGUGGUUUGUUAAGUCAGAUGUGAAAGCCCGGGGCUCAACCUCGGAGUUGCAUUUGAAACUGGCAGGCUAGAGUACUGUAGAGGGGGGUAGAAUUUCAUGUGUAGCGGUGAAA
rnacentral:rRNA from 1 species